rfam:Oryza glumipatula chromosome 3, whole genome shotgun sequence.
AAUAAGUGUAGUUUUACACUAUUCAUGUUCAACGUUUGACCGUUCGUCUUAUUUGAAAAUUUUUUAUGAUUAGUAUUUUUAUUGUUAUUAGAUAAUAAAACAUGAAUAUUACUUUACGUGUGACUAAAUAUUUUCAAAAUUUUCACAAAUUUUUUAAAUAAGACAGACGGUCAAACGUUGGGCACGGAUAUCCCACUUAUU